UGAGACGUUCCCCCUCACCAGUGAACUU
rnacentral:piRNA from 1 species